rnacentral:lncRNA from 1 species
UGAAAUGCUGUGGUCCAAAGGUCGCUGGUUCAACUCCAGCUCCAAGCACCGGAUUUCAUUUGUAUAUGCACUGUUCAACCUUUUUCAUUGACCAGGUGGCUUGAUUGUUGUUUUGGCAAAGUGUGUCGCCCAAGCCACUAUGUUUUCUGCGUUUUUAUCUAUAAGCACCUUCAUAGCUCAGUUGGUAGAGCACAUGACUUUAAGAAGUUCCUGAAACGCUGUGGUCCAAAGGACGCUGGUUCAACUCCAGCUCCAAACACCAGAUUUCAUUGGUGUAUGCACUGUUCAACCUUUUCCAUUGACCAUGUUGGUUCAAUAGUUAUGUUGGCAAAGUGUGUCGCCGAAGCCACUAUGUUUUCUGCGUUUUUAUCUAUAAGCACCUUCAUAGCUCAGUUGGUAGAGCACAUGACUUUAAGAAGUUCCUGAAACGCUGUGGUCCAAAGGACGCUGGUUCAACUCCUGCUCCAAACACCAGAUUUCAUUUGUAUAUGCACUGUUCAUCCUUUUUCAUUGACCAGGUGGCUUGAUUGUUGUUUUGGCAAAGUGUGUCGCCGAAGCCACUAUGUUUUCUGCGUUUUUAUCUAUAAGCACCUUCAUAGCUCAGUUGGUAGAGCACAUGACUUUAAGAAGUUCCUGAAACGCUGUGGUCCAAAGGACGCUGGUUCAACUCCUGCUCCAAACACCAGAUUUCAUUUGUAUAUGCACUGUUCAUCCCUUUUCAUUGACCAGGUGGCUUGAUUGUUGUUUUGGCAAAGUGUGUCGCCGAAGCCACUAUGUUUUCUGCGUUUUUAUCUAUAAGCACCUUCAUAGCCCAGUUGGUAGAGCACAUGACUGUAAGAAGUUCCUGAAACGCUGUGGUCCAAAGGUCGCUGGUUCAACUCCUACUCCAAACACCACAUUUCAAUGGUCUAUGCACUGUUCAACCUUUUUCAUUGACCAGGUGGCUUGAUUGUUGUUUUGGCAAAGUGUGUCGCCGAAGCCACUAUGUUUUCUGCGUUUUUAUCUAUAAGCACCUUCAUAGCUCAGUUGGUAGACCACAUGACUUUAAGAAGUUCCUGAAACGCUGUGGUCCAAAGGUCGCUAGUUCAACUCCAGCUCCAAGCACCAGAUUUCAUUUGUAUGUGCACUGUUCAUCCUUUUUCAUUGACCAGGUGGCUUGAUUGUUGUUUUGGCAAAGUGUGUCGCCGAAGCCACCAUGUUUUCUGCGUUUUUAUUUAUAAGCACCUUCAUAUCUCAGUUGGUAGAGCACAUGACUGUAAGAAGUUCCUGAAACGCUGUGGUCCAAAGGUCGCUGGUUCAACUCCUGCUCCAAACACCAGAUUUCAAUGCUCUAUGCACUGUUCAACCUUUUUCAUUGACCAGGUGGCUUGAUUGUUGUUUUGGCAAAGUGUGUCGCCGAAGCCACUAUGUUUUCUGCGUUUUUAUCUAUAAGCACCUUCAUAGCUCAGUUGGUAGAGCACAUGACUUUAAGAAGUUCCUGAAACGCUGUGGUCCAAAGGUCGCUGGUUCAACUCCUGCUCCAAGCAACAGAUUUCAUUUGUAUAUGCACUGUUCAUCCUUUUUCAUUGACCAGGUGGCUUGAUUGUUGUUUUGGCAAAGUGUGUCGCCGAAGCCACUAUGUUUUCUGCGUUUUCAUCUAUAAGCACCUUCAUAGCUCAGUUGGUAGAGCACAUGACUGUAAGAAGUUCCUGAAACGCUGUGGUCCAAAGGUCCCUGGUUCAACUCCAGCUCCAAGCACCAGAUUUCAUUUGUAUAUGCACUGUUCAUCCUUUUUCAUUGACCAGGUGGCUUGAUUGUUGUGUUGGCAAAGUGUGUCGCCGAAGCCACUAUGUUUUCUGCGUUUUUAUCUAUAAGCACCUUCAUAGCUCAGUUGGUAGAGCACAUGACUUUAAGAAGUUCCUGAAACCCUGUGAUCCAAAGGACGCUGGUUCAAUUCCUGCUCCAAACACCAGAUUUCAUUGGUCUAUGCACUGUUCAACCUUUUUCAUUGACCAUGUUGGUUCAAUAGUUAUGUUGAAAAAGUGUGUCGCCGAAGCCACUAUGUUUUCUGCGAUUUUAUCUAUAAGCACCUUCAUAGCCCAGUUGGUAGAGCACAUGACUGUAAGAAGUUCCUGAAACGCUGUGGUCCAAAGGUCGCUGGUUCAACUCCUACUCCAAACACCAGAUUUCAAUGGUCUAUUCACUGUUCAACCUUUUUCAUUGACCAGGUGGCUUGAUUGUUGUUUUGGCAAAGUGUGUCGCCGAAGCCACUAUGUUUUCUGCGUUUUUAUCUAUAAGCACCUUCAUAGCUCAGUUGGUAGAGCACAUGACUUUAAGAAGUUCCUGAAACGCUGUGGUCCAAAGGUCCCUGGUUCAACUCCAGCUCCAAGCACCAGAUUUCAUUUGUAUGUGCACUGUUCAUCCUUUUUCAUUGACCAGGUGGCUUGAUUGUUGUUUUGGCAAAGUGUGUCGCCGAAGCCACCAUGUUUUCUGCGUUUUUAUUUAUAAGCACCUUCAUAUCUCAGUUGGUAGAGCACAUGACUGUAAGAAGUUCCUGAAACGCUGUGGUCCAAAGGUCGCUGGUUCAACUCCUGCUCCAAACACCAGAUUUCAAUGCUCUAUGCACUGUUCAACCUUUUUCAUUGACCAGGUGGCUUGAUUGUUGUUUUGGCAAAGUGUGUCGCCGAAGCCACUAUGUUUUCUGCGUUUUUAUCUAUAAGCACCUUCAUAGCUCAGUUGGUAGAGCACAUGACUUUAAGAAGUUCCUGAAACGCUGUGGUCCAAAGGUCGCUGGUUCAACUCCUGCUCCAAGCAACAGAUUUCAUUUGUAUAUGCACUGUUCAUCCUUUUUCAUUGACCAGGUGGCUUGAUUGUUGUUUUGGCAAAGUGUGUCGCCGAAGCCACUAUGUUUUCUGCGUUUUCAUCUAUAAGCACCUUCAUAGCUCAGUUGGUAGAGCACAUGACUGUAAGAAGUUCCUGAAACGCUGUGGUCCAAAGGUCCCUGGUUCAACUCCAGCUCCAAGCACCAGAUUUCAUUUGUAAAUGCACUGUUCAUCCUUUUUCAUUGACCAGGUGGCUUGAUUGUUGUGUUGGCAAAGUGUGUCGCCGAAGCCACUAUGUUUUCUGCGUUUUUAUCUAUAAGCACCUUCAUAGCUCAGUUGGUAGAGCACAUGACUUUAAGAAGUUCCUGAAACCCUGUGGUCCAAAGGACGCUGGUUCAAUUCCUGCUCCAAACACCAGAUUUCAUUGGUCUAUGCACUGUUCAACCUUUUUCAUUGACCAUGUUGGUUCAAUAGUUAUGUUGAAAAAGUGUGUCGCCGAAGCCACUAUGUUUUCUGCGAUUUUAUCUAUAAGUACCUUCAUAGCUCAGUUGGUAGAGCACAUGACUUUAACAAGUUCCUGAAACGCUGUGGUCCAAAGGUCGCUGGUUCAACUCCUGCUCCAAACACCAGAUUUCAUUGGUCUAUGCACUGUUCAUCCUUUUUCAUUGACCAGGUGGCUUGAUUGUUGUGUUGGCAAAGUGUGUCGCCGAAGCCACUAUGUUUUCUGCGUUUUUAUCUAUAAGCACCUUCAUAGCUCAGUUGGUAGAGCACAUGACUUUAAGAAGUUCCUGAAAUGCUGUGGUCCAAAGGUCCCUGGUUCAACUCCAGCUCCAAGCACCAGAUUUCAUUUGUAUAUGCACUGUUCAUCCUUUUUCAUUGACCAGGUGGCUUGAUUGUUGUUUUGGCAAAGUGUGUCGCCGAAGCCACUAUGUUUUCUGCGUUUUUAUCUAUAAGCACCUUCAUAGCUCAGUUGGUAGAGCACAUGACUUUAAGAAGUUCCUGAAACGCUGUGGUCCAAAGGUCGCUGGUUCAACUCCUACUCCAAACACCAGAUUUCAAUGGUCUAUGCACUGUUCAACCUUUUUCAUUGACCAGGUGGCUUGAUUGUUGUUUUGGCAAAGUGUGUCGCCGAAGCCACUAUGUUUUCUGCGUUUUUAUCUAUAAGCACCUUCAUAGCUCAGUUGGUAGAGCACAUGACUUUAAGAAGUUCCUGAAACGCUGUGGUCCAAAGGUCGCUGGUUCAACUCCAGCUCCAAGCAACAGAUUUCAUUUGUAUAUGCACUGUUCAUCCUUUUUCAUUGACCAGGUGGCUUGAUUGUUGUUUUGGCAAAGUGUGUCGCCGAAGCCACUAUGUUUUCUGCGUUUUUAUCUAUAAGCACCUUCAUAGCUCAUUUGGUAGAGCACAUGACUUUAAGAAGUUCUAGAAACGCUCUGGUUCAAAGGUCGCUGGUUCAACUCCUGCUCCAAACACCAGAUUUCAUUGGUCUAUGCACUGUUCAACCUUUUUCAUUGACCAGGUGGCUUGAUUGUUGUGUUGGCAAAGUGUGUCGCCGAAGCCACUAUGUUUUCUCCGUUUUCAUCUAUAAGCACCUUCAUAGCUCAGUUGGUAGAGCACAUGACUGUAAGAAGUUCCUGAAACGCUGUGGUCCAAAGGUCCCUGGUUCAACUCCAGCUCCAAGCACCAGAUUUCAUUUGUAUAUGCACUGUUCAUCCUUUUUCAUUGACCAGGUGGCUUCAUUGUUGUGUUGGCAAAGUGUGUCGCCGAAGCCACUAUGUUUUCUGCGUUUUUAUCUAUAAGCACCUUCAUAGCUCAGUUGGUAGAGCACAUGACUUUAAGAAGUUCCUGAAACGCUGUGGUCCAAAGGACGCUGGUUCAACUCCUGCUCCAAACACCAGAUUUCAUUGGUCUAUGCACUGUUCAACCUUUUUCAUUGACCAUGUUGGUUCAAUAGUUAUGUUGGCAAAGUGU